rnacentral:rRNA from 1 species
AUUGAACGCUGGCGGCAGGCCUAACACAUGCAAGUCGAACGAAUGGCGGACGGGUGAGUAAUGUCUGGGAAACUGCCUGAUGGAGGGGGAUAACUACUGGAAACGGUAGCUAAUACCGCAUACCAUCGGAUGUGCCCAGAUGGGAUUCGCUAGUAGGUGGGGUAAAGGCUCACCUAGGCGACGAUCCCUAGCUGGUCUGAGAGGGUGACAAGCCAAACUGGAACUGAGAAAGGGGCCAGACUCCUACGGGAGGAAGCAGUGGGGAAUAUUGCACAAUGGGCGCAAGCUUGAUGCAACCAUGCCGCGUGUAUGAAGAAGGCCGUCGGGUUGUAAAGUACUUUCAGCGGGGAGGCGUUACCCGCAGAAGAAGCACCGGCUAACUCCGUGCCAGCCGCCGCGGUAAUUC